AAAUUGGAAAAUAGUUUGAUGAAAUUCAAGCAGGACAUAUGAAAAAAUACUACACUUAGAGAGGAAUAAUCAAUUCCAAAAAUACAAAAUGGGAAAUGACUGCCAAUGAAGGAGUACAGCAGAAAAGGAUCUGGGGAUUAUAGUGGAUCACAAACUAAAUUUGAGUCAACAAUGUAAUACUGUAAAAA